UGAGUGGUGUUUGGUUUGUUACGGGUGGUUGGCUCUUUGCUUGCGCAACAACUUCUACCUGGCAUACCUCUUCAGUCUUGUGUCAAUGCUUGUAUUGCAUUGAAUGCACGGUGGGUUUCUUGUGUUGCAUGCCUAAUUUAAUGGUAUUGCUUGAUGUAUUGGUUUUCCUUUCGUUUUGCAUUGCCUAUGCGAUGUGAGAUGAACCUUGAAGCAGCCUUUGUGAUCCACUGAUUUGAUGUAUAUGCAUUGAUUUUGUGGCCCAUUGAGUGUUGCUCGGUCUCAUGGAUAUGGAACCUGGUGUGGGCAUGGAAUCUUAAUGGUUCCUUGUUUGCCCAAGUUUAGCUUUUCUAAAACGAUUGUCUAUCAUGUGUUAACAUGCUAGACUACUUCGA
rnacentral:misc_RNA from 1 species